rnacentral:rRNA from 1 species
GAUGAACGCUGGCGGCGUGCCUAACACAUGCAAGUCGAGCGAAAAGACGAGAAGCUUGCUUCUCUGAUGUUAGCGGUGGACGGGUGAGUAACACUUGGAUAACCUACCUAUAAUACUGGGAUGAAUUCGGGACAACGGAGCUAAUACCGGUCAAUAUUUUGCACCGCAUGGUUCAAGAUUGAAAGACGGUCUUGCUGUCACUUAUAGAUGGAUCCGCGCUGCAUUAGCUAGUUGGUAAGGUCACGGCUUACCAAGGCAACGUUUCAUAGCCGACCUGAGCGAUGGAUCGGCCACACGCGAUCUGAAACACGGUCCGGCCGCCUACGGGACGCAGGAGACGGAAAUCUGCCGCCAUGUGCCAAAGCCUGACGGAGCAACCGCGCGUGAGUGAUGACGAGCUUCGGAUCGUAAAUUUCAUAUAUAAGGGGAGAACGAAUAUGUAAGUAACUGUGAACAUCUUGACGGUACCUAAUCAGGAAGCAACGGCUAACUACGUG